UGGUAGAGGAUAUAAAAAAAACCUUGAAACAUCUCCAUGUUGCUUCUUUCCUGCUUGGAUUCUCUGGACUGUGGAUUAACAACAAAGGGACCAUAUUUGAACUAUGGACUGAGGACCAUUGGAGUCCAUUCCAAUCUUUUGGAAGUUACCAGAGACUUUACAAGCCAGCAGUCUAUAACAUCACUGCUACAAUCCUGGUAUAAGAACAUUGCCAUUAUUAAACCCCAUAUCUUGUUUUCUGUGGUUUUGCUGAGGUAGUACUUUGAAGACUGAAAAACCAGCAGAUUUAUUUCACCACAAGAAACAAGGACUCGAAGCACCUGAGCAAAGAGAAGAUUGGAAGUGUGAACUGGGUACAAUGAAAAAUAAGACGGUGUUAUCCAUCAAACUUCAAGUUAGAAAUUGGGAAGGUACCAGAAUGCUUCAUCCAGAACUGAAAUGAAUCUCUGAGGUGGUUGACAACUCUUUAAUAGCCAUAUACAGCAUAAUAGCCUAAUACAGAAGCUUAAGACAGGAAAUGAAGAAUGCUUUGUCCAAAUGCAAUCACAGGGCAUAUUUAGCCAGGCAGAAUGCAUAGUAAUUCAUGCUGGAGUUUGGCCAGGCCGCUGGAAGAAGUACCCCUGCUUUGGUGAAGAGUGCUUUGGGAUCUUUCAUGACUGUGAGUAGAAAAAGUGUUGGGAUUAGAUUUGCAUCUACUACUCACGCGCUGUUUAUUUUUAUUUCGGUUCCCCUUUAUGGUCUUUUACAGCACUCAGGGAAGUUUUUCACACCCAGAAUAUCCUUGCUGCUGAUGUUGUGUUUUCCUUCAGGUUCAGCUACUUAGAAUGUUGAUGUUUUAAUAGUCUCACCCUCUGCUCAAUGCAUAUGAUAAAAAAGAUGUAUUUAGAAGUCAGAGUUAGCUAUGUAUAAACUGAUUAUCUGUAUAUAAACCUAC